CUGGACCCAUCUUUCUAACGCCUGUUGAAUCCUCACCUCCUAUGUUUCCCCAGUGCCCCAAGCAGAGCUGGGCAAGGAGCAAAUGCUCAGGCAGGCUGUGGGAUGAGCAGGUGAAAUGGAUGGAAGGAUGGACGGACAGACGGAUGGAUGGAUGGACGGAUGGAUGGAGCCCAACACCAGCUCUCAGGUCCUAGACGGAUGGUCCAACACCAGAGAGGUGGCCUCUCUCAGCAGAUCUUCCCAGGACCCUGCAGGAGGGCAGGCCGCAGCAGCCCCAAGGAACAGCCCGGGGGAGGGAAGGCAGAUGGCCGCCUCAAAGCCAGCCCUGAGUCCUUCCCCUCUAGGCCUGAGUGUCAAGGGCAGACCCAGCCCAUGGCUUUGGGGACCUGGUGGCACUGACUCCAGCAGGAGAUCCCUGGGCUGAGCCCUGGCAGGUAGGGGAGGCCUGGACUCAUGGGGACAGAACACUGUCUCAGCCUGAUGUGGCUCGGGGAGGAGGGUAGGGCCCCUGGUCAUGUAGGUCCUGGCCCCAUGCGCCUGCUCUCCACCUGACCUCAGCAGGCAGGUCUCUUGGGCCAUUCGUGCACCCAGCUGCCCUGGAGCCCCAAACUGGGACUGGUGGAGGGGCCCUGCGGAGGGGAAGGCUGGGGUCCAAGAAGCCCAUGAAGCCAUGUGCCAGGGCCAGAGCUGGUCUGCCUGGUCUGGAUGGUAUGUCAUCCUUGUGUUACAAGUGGGGAAACUGAGGCUUGGGGAGUAACAUCACAGGUUCAAGGUCUUAAAGCUGAGAAGUGGCCCCUCUGGGUUUGGAAGGCAGGCUGGACCCUGGGGCAGCCUCUACCCCCAGCCCCUCUUCCCCAGGACCCUACGACCCCAAGAGGCUUCCCUGGCAACCCGGUCAGCCCUCUCUGUCCUCUCCCCAGCUCCCCUUGUCCUGUCCAGGGCUGAGCACCGUCCCACAGCCCACUUCCCUAGCAGGGCUGUAUGGCCCAGCGGGCCCCUAGAGGGAGACCUGGGGUCUGGAGGGGGAGGGGAGUGUUUCAGGCUGAAGCUGAGCCUGGGGAAGCAGGCGGGGGUGGCUAGACGGGCCACCCCCUCAACAGUUUUCAGACCUCAAGGAGUCACCAUGAAAUUCCAUUCUCCUGACAGCAAAGAAAUUGAUUCACUCUUGCCAAAGCCUGCGGCCCCCACAAGAAUGCUGUAAAGCUUCCUCCCGCUGCUUCCAGACAGGCAGCAGCAUCAGGUCCCCCACUCCUCCAUUCCUGACCACACAGAGACGCG
rnacentral:lncRNA from 1 species